UGUUAAAAGUUUCAUCCAUCUAUAUUCUUAAAAACUGUCUUGAUUGAUGAAAUAACCAAACAGUGAUACGUGUUGUGUCACAUAUACUUCAUGCUGACGUACAGGACCAGUUUUUAAUCGUAGAAAUUAAUAAAUUUUUUAACA
rfam:Gossypium raimondii Chr10_contig_16, whole genome shotgun sequence.